AAGCUCGUAGUUGGAUUUCUGUUAAUAAUUUAUAUAAAAUAUUUUAAUUAAUAUUUAUAUAAUAUUAACAUAAUUCAUAUUACUAUAAUUAUUUUUUAGUAUAUGAAAUUUUACUUUGAGAAAAUUAGAGUGCUUAAAGCAGGCAUAUGCCUUGAAUACUCCAGCAUGGAAUAAUAUUAAAGAUUUUUAUCUUUCUUAUUGGUUCUAAGAUAAGAAUAAUGAUUAAUAGGGACAGUUGGGGGCAUUUGUAUUUAACAGUCAGAGGUGAAAUUCUUAGAUUUGUUAAAGACAAACUAAUGCGAAAGCAUUUGCCAAGGAUGUUUUCAUUAAUCAAGAACGAAAGUUAGGGGAUCGAAGACGAUCAGAUACCGUCGUAGUCUUAACCAUAAACUAUGCCAACUAGAGAUUGGAGGUUGUUCCUUACUCCUUCAGCACCUUA
rnacentral:rRNA from 2 species